UCUGUGAGAAUAGCAACCUAGCUUUGUACACAGACCUCUUCAACUACCUGCCAGCUCUCCUGUCUUCUAGUCUAGACAUCCUUUAUAGUCAUUUAUGCCCCCACAGGACAGAACAGUUGAAUUGGCUUAGAACAAUCAGUGGUCACUGACAGCUGUCUUUAAUCAUUCUCUCAUCGCUGACUCAACCAAUUGUCCAUCAGGCCAAGCCAGGAAGCCAAAGAAGGCCGGCAGGGAAUGGUCUCCUGCUCUCCACAAGGAGAAGGACAAGGUUGAGGAUGAGCUAAGACCUGCGCUGGGUAACUUAUCCCCCACUUUGAAAAGCUGGGCUUCAACUAAUGGCCAGUGAUGGAGCCCACCCUGUUCCUUGCCUGGAAUCCUGGACACGGAAGAGGGCAUCAAGUGCUGUUGAUACUUGAAGAUCUCCAGGCUGCACAGGAGGUUCUGAUGCUCCCGAUGCUGCUCAUGCUGCUGUGCCCAGAUAUCAGGACUUCAAGAUUGUAUUGAGUAAGGGAGUUGAUCCUUUUGAAUAUCGGAAUGUAUUUUACACUGAUGGGUCAAAGGCACAUCGACAUGGAUGAUCCCUAGCCUUUGAUUAAGAUACAGAUGCUUUCACUGCAUCCCACAGUGGAAACCUCUUCUUCAUGAUUCUAGAAGUUAUGUUAUGAUUUAUAUUGCCCUUGCAAAGAAGGAGGAAGAAAAGGGCAUCACAUUUUGGUGGAUUUAAAAUGAAGACUCUGGUCCCAAGGACUUUCCAAUCUAAUUUAUGCAAUUAGUAUAUGAGUAAAAACAUCAGAUCAAAAGAGCUGAGAAUGGGGGCUGGAGGAGAUAAUUAAAGUUGUGGAAUUUCUGAAUUUUCAAAUAUUGUGUUAUCUU